GGGGCCCGCAGGGCAACCGGCGAACGGGUGCGUAACACGUGAGCAAUCUGCCGAUUUCUGGGGGAUAGCCGGUCCAACGACCGGGUAAUACCGCAUACGCUCAUUGGGGGGCAUCCCCUGAUGAGGAAACCUCCGGGGGAAAUCGAGGAGCUCGCGGCCUAUCAGCUAGUUGGUGCGGUAACGGCGCACCAAGGCGACGACGGGUAGCUGGUCUGAGAGGAUGGCCAGCCACAUUGGGACUGCGACACGGCCCAGACUCCUACGGGAGGCAGCAGUGGGGAAUAUUGCGCAAUGGACGAAAGUCUGACGCAGCGACGCCGCGUGUGGGAUGAAGCUCUUCGGGGUGUAAACCACUGUUGCUCGGGACGAACCUCCCCUUUCGAGGGGACUGACGGUACCGAGUGAGGAAGCACCGGCUAACUCUGUGCCAGCAGCCGCGGUAAUACAGAGGGUGCAAGCGUUGUCCGGAAUCACUGGGCGUAAAGGGCGCGUAGGUGGCUUGGUAAGCGUGUGGUGAAAGCUCGGGGCUCAACCCCGAGUCGGCCAUGCGAACUGCCGAGCUUGAGCAUGGUAGAGGCAGGUGGAAUUCCGGGUGUAGCGGUGGAAUGCGUAGAUAUCCGGAAGAACACCGGUGGCGAAGGCGGCCUACUGGGCCAUUGCUGACACUGAGGCGCGACAGCGUGGGGAGCAAACAGGAUUAGAUACCCUGGUAGUCCACGCCGUAAACGAUGGGCACUAGGUGCUUGGGGGAGCGACCCCCUGAGUGCCGGCGCUAACGCAU
rnacentral:rRNA from 1 species